UAGGAAGGAUAUAAUACUGCAAUUGAUACCUUAAUGAUUGGGCCAUCUUGUUAAAAGUGGGAAGAAGCUCAUCAGCAUCCGCCAUUAAUGUUGUUAUCCUCUACAAAUGAAUUCAUACGGUGUAACUGUUAUUGUAAGGAGUUAAAGAAAAUCAUGUAACCUGCAGUUUUGAGAGGUAGAAAAUCUGAGCAUUUUCCACAAAUGAUUUGACCACAAAGUCGACAGUGAUGUUUUCGUCUUGUCACAGUAAAUGAUUUUGUGCAUAGGAAACAGAACUUUGCUUCUUCAUCUGCUAUCCAAGGAACUAGACUCUGCUCUUUAACUAAAAUUUAUUUCAUUUUACAACAGUUUUUGCAUUGCAAACAUUCAUCGUUUCCCAGUUACCUUUCUUCUUUGAACUACUUAUUUGAAAAUCUUCAUUGUCUUUCAAAAUAUUUAAAAUCUAGUAAAAACAAACACUUCUAGAUGCUUUCAAGCAUGUCUUCACGAACAGAAAGCAUUAACAAAGAAUAUACCUUUUCCAAUCGAACAAGAAUUGUGUUUGUAAAUAUCAUGCAAUCAUCCACUUUCAAAUUUCGUGCUUUCCGAAACUUAUUGGUAUGAUCUUGGGUAAAACCUUGAUUGAAUAAAGAAAUAAUAAACUGCUUAGUUACUUUA